rnacentral:rRNA from 1 species
UACGGGAGGCAGCAGUGGGGAAUAUUGCACAAUGGGCGAAAGCCUGAUGCAGCUAUGCCGCGUGUAUGAAGAAGGCCUUAGGGUUGUAAAGUACUUUCAUCGGGGAGGAAAAAACAAAACUAAUAAUUUUAUUUCUUGACGUUACCCGAAAAAGAAGCACCGGCUAACUCCGUGCCAGCAGCCGCGGUAAUACGGAGGGUGCUAGCGUUAAUCAGAAUUACUGGGCGUAAAGAGCACGUAGGUGGUUUUUUUAAGUCAGAUGUGAAAAUCCCUGGGCUUAACCUGGAACUGCAUUUUUGAAACUGAAAUACUAGAGUAUCGUAGAGGGAGGUAGAAUUCUAGGUGUAGCGGUGAAAUGCGUAGAUAUCUGGAGGAAUACCUGUGGCGAAAGCGGCCUCCUAAACGAAUACUGACACUGAGGUGCGAAAGCUGGGGAGCAAACAGGGAUUAGAUACC